AGAGCGAGUGCUGAUGUUCCUGAUACAUAUGGAUCCUCUAACCUCAUAAAUACUCUUAUUCAACUUCUUGAAUUCAACCUUUGCCGAACUUCUUAGCCCAUCAAGAAAGUCUCCCAUCCUGUCAUGCUCCAUAAAAACAUCUGAUAGAUUCAAGUGCUUCCGAAAUUUCAUGCUUUCUAGCUCAUCCUGCAACGCCAGUGACCCAAGAGUUGUCAUGCUCCAUAAAAACAUCUGAUAGACUCAAGUGCUUCCGAAAUUUCAUGCUUUCUAGCUCAUCCUGCAACGCGAGUGACCCAAAAUAUUCAAUUUUGCUAAGACCCCCAUCAUGAAAUUGCAAAUACUCCUUCAAG
rnacentral:lncRNA from 1 species